GGUAAGGUAACGCCUUACCAAGGCAAUGAUGCAUAGCCGAGUUGAGAGACUGAUCGGCCACAUUGGGACUGAGACACGGCCCAAACUCCUACGGGAGGCAGCAGUAGGGAAUCUUCCACAAUGGACGCAAGUCUGAUGGAGCAACGCCGCGUGAGUGAAGAAGGGUUUCGGCUCGUAAAGCUCUGUUGGUAGUGAAGAAAGAUAGAGGUAGUAACUGGCCUUUAUUUGACGGUAAUUACCUAGAAAGUCACGGCUAACUACGUGCCAGCAGCCGCGGUAAUACGUAGGUGGCAAGCGUUGUCCGGAUUUAUUGGGCGUAAAGCGAGUGCAGGCGGUUCAAUAAGUCUGAUGUGAAAGCCUUCGGCUCAACCGGAGAAUUGCAUCAGAAACUGUUGAACUUGAGUGCAGAAGAGGAGAGUGGAACUCCAUGUGUAGCGGUGGAAUGCGUAGAUAUAUGGAAGAACACCAGUGGCGAAGGCGGCUCUCUGGUCUGCAACUGACGCUGAGGCUCGAAAGCAUGGGUAGCGAACAGGAUUAGAUACCCUGGUAGUCCAUGCCGU
rnacentral:rRNA from 1 species